rnacentral:rRNA from 1 species
CCUACGGGAGGCAGCAGUGGGGAAUAUUGCGCAAUGGGCGAAAGCCUGACGCAGCGACGCCGCGUGAGGGAUGAAGGUCUUCGGAUCGUAAACCUCUGUCAGCAGGGAAGAACGGUCACUGUGCUAAUCAGCAGUGAAUUGACGGUACCUGCAAAGGAAGCACCGGCUAACUCCGUGCCAGCAGCCGCGGUAAUACGGAGGGUGCGAGCGUUAAUCGGAUUUACUGGGCGUAAAGCGCUCGUAGGCGGUAUGUCAAGUCAAGGGUGAAAGCCCCGAGCUCAACGUGGGAACUGCCUUUGAAACUGGCAAACUGGAGUGUGUGAGAGGAUAGUGGAAUUCCAGGUGUAGGAGUGAAAUCCGUAGAUAUCUGGAGGAACAUCAGUGGCGAAGGCGACUAUCUGGCACAUAACUGACGCUGAGGAGCGAAAGCGUGGGUAGCAAACAGGAUUAGAUACCCUAGUAGUC